GGGAGCAGCAGCAGCCGAGCUCGCGAGUUGUGAUUUCUAGCGGAGAAGAAGAGACCUCCGACAAGCAAAAGCUAAACGCAGAGUAUAAUUUUUAUUUAUUUAAUAAUUAACGACCCAAAAAGAAAAUGGAAACCAUUGUUUCAAAUUUUCAUUCGGUGGUCAUAAAUUCUUUAAUUUCCAAAAAGGCCCCACCAUAUAUACCUAUAUUUCCCAUUCGCCAGCUACGCAUCAUCUCGCCCUGCUCUCGGAGUCGGACUUCCAUCUCCUUAACACUGAGGAUGGCUCACUCCGCCCAAAGUCCAGUUCCUCAGCAGGAGAAAGUUAUCAUACCAAACAAACAUGGUGAAAAACUUGUGGGCUUAUUACAUGAUACUGGAUCUAAGGAGAUUGUUGUCUUAUGCCAUGGUUUUCGUUCCACUAAGGAAAAUGAAACCAUGGUGAACCUUGCUGUUGCAUUAGAAAAUGAAGGAAUCAGUGCUUUCCGUUUUGACUUUGCUGGAAAUGGAGAAAGUGAAGGUUCAUUUGCAUAUGGUAAUUAUUGGAGAGAGGUUGAUGAUUUGCGUGCCGUGGUUGAACACUUCUCUGGAGCAAACCGUGCUGUAAGUGUGAUUCUUGGGCAUAGCAAAGGUGUGUAUGACCAAUCUAGACAUACAAGACAUAACAUGUUGCAGUAAUUAUGAAGUCUGAAGAAUUUAUACAGCAAAAUUUGAGGUGUAAUCCUGCGAAUUUUAUUAAUGAAAACAGGUUCCAGACUAUAUGCUAAUUUCAGAUUGAUGUUUUAGGUUGUGGGCAGGAUUUUUUUAUGUAGGAUUUAAUUGCUAUUUUUAGAUUGGCAAAUGGGUGGGUAAAACCAAAAUUGCUAGUUGUUAGUGAGGUGGAUGGGAAUAGGACUAUAGCUUUGCCAGUUAGGUAUAUAUAUAUAUCCAAACUUCAUACUGUGCAUUUUUCGUUUGGCCAUCGCUAUUUCUUGUGCUUUUGUCUUUCUUGUGGAAUUUAUGACAAUAUAAUUCAACUGUACUGCUUCUAGUCAUUAGCUUAGUCUUGUUUUACAUUCCUGUCUUGCAUGUCCAGUUUGAAAUGCCUGCCUGCUAUGUUAGUUUUAAGUUGCUUGAUAUUUGUUUCCCUCUUGUAAGUUAUUGCUAUUGUAACCACAGGGGGCAAUUUGGUGCUCCUAUAUGCUUCAAAAUAUAGCGAUAUCAGUUCGGUAGUCAAUGUUUCUGGUCGUUAUGAUCUGAAUAGAGGCAUUGAGGAACGGCUUGGGAAAGACUUUAUGGAAAAGAUCAAGCAAGAAGGAUUCUUUGAUGUUAAGAACAAAACAGGAAGUGUUAACUAUCGUGUGACUCUAGAAAGUUUGAUGGAUCGCCUGAAUACAAAUAUGCGCAAAGCUUGCCUUCUGAUUGAUAAAGACUGCAGGGUGUUCACUGUUCAUGGAUCUGCUGAUGAAAUCAUUCCCGUGGAAGACGCAUUAGAGUUUGCCAAGAUCAUAUCUAAUCACAAGUUACACAUCAUAGAAGGAGCUAAUCAUUCAUACACUUCACACCAAGCUGAGUUAUCCUCUGCUGUUUUGAACUUCAUAAAGGAAACCUUACAGCAGGACAAGGGCACCCCUAACUAGGCGGUUAUAGUUUUCAAGAGAAGAGCAAGCUGUGCAGCCAGUGGCGUUAUGAUGUAGUAGUUCAUGGUGGAAACUUCCCUACAAUUUAUUGAGAGGUGUUUUAACAACGUAUUUUAUGAUAUCAUUAUACCCUUGUGUUGUAGCACAUGGUAGAACCUAUUCUUCACUGAGAAGGGUGGAUUGGUAACUUGAUAUGGGUACAAUAAAUUUCUGCCAAAGAUCAUUCGAGUGUCAUGAAAACUUCAAUCUGUCCAAGGUCAACAUGUUUUUAGAACACUGUUGUACUGAGAACUGAAUUCAACUUGGAUAUAUCAUUUGUUUCUCCUUUAUUUUUACCAAGAAAAUAUUUUUUAUACAUAA
rnacentral:misc_RNA from 1 species